rnacentral:rRNA from 1 species
AGAGUUUGAUCCUGGCUCAGGAUGAACGCUAGCGGGAGGCCUAACACAUGCAAGUCGAACGGGAUUGAGAGCUUGCUCUCAUGAGAGUGGCGCACGGGUGAGUAACGCGUAUGCAACCUACCUUUAACUGAGGGAUAGCCCAUAGAAAUGUGGAUUAAUACCUCAUAGUUCUAUUAGAUCGCAUGAUUUGAUAGAUAAAGCUCCGGCGGUUAAAGAUGGGCAUGCGUGACAUUAGUUUGUUGGUGAGGUAACGGCUCACCAAGACUACGAUGUCUAGGGGUUCUGAGAGGAUGAUCCCCCACACUGGUACUGAGACACGGACCAGACUCCUACGGGAGGCAGCAGUGAGGAAUAUUGGUCAAUGGGCGCAAGCCUGAACCAGCCAUCCCGCGUGCAGGAUGAAGGCCCUAUGGGUCGUAAACUGCUUUUAUACACCAAGAAAAACACCCACGUGUGGGUGCCCGACGGUAGUGUAUGAAUAAGCAUCGGCUAACUUCGUGCCAGCAGCCGCGGUAAUACGAAGGGGGCUAGCGUUGCUCGGAAUCACUGGGCGUAAAGGGUGCGUAGGCGGGUUUUUAAGUCAGAGGUGAAAUCCUGGAGCUCAACUCCAGAACUGCCUUUGAUACUGAGAAUCUUGAGUUCGGGAGAGGUGAGUGGAACUGCGAGUGUAGAGGUGAAAUUCGUAGAUAUUCGCAAGAACACCAGUGGCGAAGGCGGCUCACUGGCCCGAUACUGACGCUGAGGCACGAAAGCGUGGGGAGCAAACAGGAUUAGAUACCCUGGUAGUCC